rnacentral:tRNA from 3 species
GCCCAUGUAGCUCAGUCGGUAGAGCACCUGCAUGGUAAGCAGGCGGUCACCAGUUCGAAUCUGGUCGUGGGCU